AUUGAACGCUGGCGGCAGGCCUAACACAUGCAAGUCGAACGAGUGGCGGACGGGUGAGUAAUGUCUGGGGAACUGCCUGAUGGAGGGGGAUAACUACUGGAAACGGUAGCUAAUACCGCAUACCAUCGGAUGUGCCCAGAUGGGAUUAGCUAGUAGGUGGGGUAAAGGCUCACCUAGGCGACGAUCCCUAGCUGGUCUGAGAGGAUGACCAGCCACACUGGAACUGAGACACGGCCCAGACUCCUACGGGAGGCAGCAGUGGGGAAUAUUGGGCAAUGGGCGCAAGCCUGAUGCAGCCAUGCCGCGUGUAUGAAGAAGGUCUUCGGGUUGUAAAAUACUUUAAGCAUGGAGGCGGUACCUACAGAAGAAGCAACGGCUAACUACGUGCCAGCAGCCGCGGUAAUAC
rnacentral:rRNA from 1 species